UCUCGCGAGAUCAAAAAUGGAAACUUUGUUGUGUGAGAGGAAACAGUCGUAUGAUGGGGAGUGGCUCCAGCGUGAAAGUGACCUGUCUCCUUGUUUGCUACACUACAGAGGCUGUGCACACAGAUGACCCGCGUCCAGCUGCAGUUCUUCCUCACUUCAAGAUGAGACACUCUGAAUUACGCCAUCCACAGUCUUGCGACGUGUGACUUUUUUGGAAAGUCGUACAGCCUUUUCUCAUGUGCCUGCGACCUGAAAUUGCAUAGGGUCAGGUAAUGUUGAACAUUUUCAACAUUUGCUGCAUGGUCAGAGUGAAGCUGUACAGCUUUUAUAGCUGUCUGUGCCUGACAUGUCGCAUUAAUCUGCAACAGAAGUAUGAAUCAACCUAGACUGGGGUGGACGCAGUCCACUCACUCUUUUGGAAGGGUGGAACUAUUUUUGGUGAAACAGCAUUUUUCACACUCCAUCUUUAUUGUUAUUUAUCUUGAAUAAGUAGACUGCGGUCAAGCUGUCAGCCAGUUUUGAAAUGCCAGUCAAGCAAUCGGACGCUUAACUUGUAUAGAUAGUUUCCCUAUUUCAAGCAGUGAAAUUCUUCACUUCGAGAGAUUUAUAACUGCACUGGAAUGCAACGAGGGAUGAAAUACACUUUCAUACAUUUUCAAAAAGAAUGAAAAACAUAAUAUUUAAUAAGUAUGAAAUAAAUCCCACUAAUAGCUUAUUGCAACAGAGUCAAAGGACAAUUCUAUGCUGUUUAAAUGAUUGAGAACAGACAUUUUUCCUGCUUACUAUUAAAAUGUAUUUAACCAAAAACGUGUGUAUGUGUGUACCAGUAUAUGUGUGUAUGUAUAUAUCUGAAACAAAAACAAAAUGACAAGUUAUCAAAAGUGCCCAGCAUAUAGACCUGAUCAGUCUCUGGAUAGACUGCUGUGGGAUGAUCCGCCGCUCUUCCUGUGGAGCGGAGCUCUCUGGCGGCAGCUGUGGCGCAGGGUUCUCUUUCUUAGGCGGUAGUGCUGGGACUCUCUCUGGGGCUCUGGCACUGGCAGCAUAGGACGCUCCUUCCUUGGCAGCACGGAGUACUCUCCCUCCGGUAACGUGGGACUCUUUGGCAGCAGCUGCGGUCUCUCCGGCAGCGACUCGACGACCACCUGGAUGACCUCAUCCCACUCCCUCUCUGAGCGCCACACCCCCAGCUGUGCUCUCUCCCACCCGUCCGGUGUGGGGCUCUCUGAUUCGGCGGGUAGUAGAAAGACAAAUAGGAAAGAAAGAGCCUUCGAAUUUAAAGGCUUAUCUCCCUGCAUGUGCUUUUGGUCUCCAUUUUGUCAUGUAUGUGUUUUUAAACUAGAAUUUUAAAAAGCAUUGAGGUUUUAGAGGCGUGCUGGAGAUGGGCUGUAUUGGUUUUAUUGCUGUUUUUUUGCGAGCUACUUGUAAUAUCUUGUAAUAACUUCUGUGCAGAUAUUGAGCUGCACUGCCCUUUAGUUUUAAAUUAUAAUUCUGUGUUUAGUUAUUGUUUUAAUUAACGGGCAGUGCAAACUGCUUGCCGUGGCUGUGUAUUCUAGAUCUGCCCUGUUUGUUAAAUAUAGUUUACCACCUGUAUUUAAUAACACGAUGUUCACUGCCUGACAUAGUAAUGUUGGCCCAGAAUGUACUGGGCGAGCCAGCUGGGAUCCUGCCUGAUCGGGAAGGCUCAGGCAGCGUAUCGGGCCAUGACGGACAUCGAAGCUGCCAACUACGACCUGGUAAAGCAAGCCAUCCUACGCCGGCUCAACAUCACGGGGGAAACGCACAGGGUACGAUUCCGGUAGUACCGAAGAUCCCCAGAUACACGCCCCAGGGUGGUUGCGCAGCAGUUGUGUGACCACAUGGUGCCAUGUGGUCGGCGCUGAAACUCAGGUAUAGAUACGGCACCACAACCCCACCACCCUGGAAGUAGCAAUAAAACUGGCUGAGGAUUUUGAGGACUCCCUGGUUUCAGCCCACCUGGCCACAGCUCCCAUCCACCGGAGCAGCUGCACACCACCUCCUUUCUGCUCCACCUACAACACCAGGACUGAGACCUCCUAGAUCUCCGGCCCCAAUGGGCAACCUUGUCUCCUCUUCAUGGAGGUCAAGGUUGGCCCCCAGCGGGAGUAAAGCUGCUACCUCGGCUACGCUGCCAUACCAGCAACGAGAGAAAUUUGUAACCAAUGUUCCCUCCUCCCCUAUCUGCUUUAGAUGCAACAACAGGGGCACCAGGCCAGCUCAUGCCCAUCGGCAAUGGAGUGUGACGUGGCGGCGGUACAAUUGGGCAUCUGGAGCGGAAAAAUGAAUAAAGAGAAAAGGACCACAAAAUGGGAGAGAGCAUCUCUAAGACAAGGCUGGGGUCUGGUGGGAGAGCGCUCGGAUGGUGUCACAGUACGAGAUAGUCCUUACCGGAUCCCAGAAAGACGACAAAGUGGUGUUCGCAAAGAGGUAUGGGACAUGUUCGAACU